UCAGGCAACGAGCGAGACCCACGCCCACAGUUGCCAGCGUACUCUCCGGAGUGACGGGUACACUGUGGGGGACCGCCGCUGCUAAAGCGGAGGAAGGAAUGGGCAACGGUAGGUCAGUAUGCCCCCGAAUAUCCCGGGCUACACGCGAGCUACAAUGGUUGGUACAAUGGGUAUCUACCCCGAAAGGGGACGGAAAUCUCCUAAAACCAAUCUUAGUUCGGAUUGAGGGCUGCAACUCGCCCUCAUGAAGCUGGAAUCCGUAGUAAUCGCGUUUCAACAGAACGCGGUGAAUACGUUCCCGGGCCUU
rnacentral:rRNA from 1 species